rnacentral:misc_RNA from 1 species
UCCUUCUUGGGGACGUCCUG